rnacentral:lncRNA from 1 species
AAGACAAGCAUAAUAUAGUGAACAUAAGGGCUAUUGGGAGAUGGUAGCGACUGAUGGUGCCAGCGAUAAAGAUAGGGGUGCGGAGUGGGGCUUAGGCUUGAAUAAUCAUCAAGUUCUCAGAGGUGAGAAGGAGGAGGAAUGGGAGGAAAGCGAACUGGAAAAAUUCAGUCUCUUUUUGGGCUUUUCGACCGAGGGUCUGGAACAGGAAAUCCUGGAUUUUUUUAUUAAAAUUAGAAAAAGAAGGGAGAGAAUUCAUGGGAAGGCGCUGCUAGAAAAGUCUAAGUUUGAAAGAGAACUAAAGAGGCUGGAGUGUUCAGUGAACUAUGAGAAGGGAAGAAAGCAGAGAGACCCUUCACAGGGUAAAGGGUGUCAAAUUACAGUGGUUUAAUGAAGCUAAAAUUGCUGAGUUGGAAUGUGAGGGGAGUGAACGAAAAAGAGAAAAGAAAAAUUAUCAAGACGUUCAUAAGAAAUCAGAGGGUGGACCUGAUGUGUAUCCAGGAAACAAAGAUCCAACAAAUGACGGAGGAAGUGGUGAGAAGCUUAGGCUCGGGGAGAUUCUUAGAUUGGAGGGCCUUGGACGCUAGUGGGACUGCGGGAGGUAUUCUGAUAUGUUGGGAUAAAAGGACGUUGGAGAUUUUGGAGUGGGAAGAGGGCCAAUUCUCCUUAUCUUGCAGAUUCAGAAAUGUAGAAAAUGGUACUAUUUGGGUAUUCACGGGGGUUUAUGGGCCUUUUACAAAAGUCGAUCGGGAGUGCCUGUGGGAAGAGAUUGGGGCGAUCAGAGGUCUAUGGGAAGACCCGUGGUGUGUUGGGGGUGACUAUAACAUUACCCUGUUCCAAAGAGAAAGGAGCAGGCAAGGAAGAAUAACCUCAGCUAUGAGGCGUUUUGCUCAGAUUGUUGAUGAAGUUGGGCUGAUGGAUAUUCCGCUGCAAGGGGGAGUGUUUACUUGGAGUGGGGGCUCUAACAAUCAGACUUGGGCUAGGCUGGAUAGGUUCUUGGUGAACUCUAGCUGGCUUGAUCAGUUCAGUGGAGUGCUUCAACGGAGACUGCCUCGGCCUCUUUCUGAUCACUUUCCGGUUGUAUUAGAGGGUGGUGGCCUGAGAAGAGGGCCCUCUCCAUUCAGAUUUGAGAACAUGUGGCUUAAGGUGGAGGGAUUCCAAGAUUUGGUUAGAAGCUGGUGGUGGGAGAUUGAGGUGAGAGGUAGUGCUAGUUUUAGACUAGCUACAAAGCUGAAGGAAAUUAAACAGAAUUUGAAAGUUUGGAACAAGGAGGUGUUCGGGAACUUGGGGUGUAAUAAAGCAGCAGCUUUGCAACAAGUGGAAUUAUGGGACCUUGUGGAAAGUGACAGAAUUUUGUCAAUGGAGGAAACAGAAUUAAAAAGGAGGCCAAGGAAAACUAUAAAAAAUGGGUGCUGUUGGAAGAAACGCAUUGGAGACAAUUAUCAAGGGAGAUUUGGCUAAGGGAAGGGGACAGAAAUACGGGCUAUUUCCACCGUAUGGCAAAUGCAAAGCGCAGUAACAAUUAUAUGGACAGAAUUAAGAUAGACGGGUGUGUCUUUCUGAGGAGCAGGAAAUGAGGGAAGGAAUUGCAAGUGCCUAUCAGCAGAUGCUGUCAGAGGGGUCGGGAUGGCAGGCUGACAUUGGGGGGCUGCGCCUAGAUCAGAUCAGCCACCAAGAAGCAGAAAAUUUGGAAACCCCUUUUUCUGAGGCGAAGGUUCAUUCAGCUUUGAUGGAGAUGAAUGGGGAUAAAGCCCUGGGGCCGGAUGGUUUUACAGUAGCCUUUUGGCAAAGUUGUUGGGGCUUUGUUAAAGAGGAGAUCUUGGCAAUGUUUAAGGAAGUCCAUGAGCACAACACUUUCCUCAAAAGCCUAAAUAAUACAUUCCUGGUCCUAAUCCCUAAGAAAGGAGGGGCGGAAGAUAUUGGGGACUUUAGACCUAUAAGUCUUUUGGGGGGAUUGUAUAAAUUACUGGCUAAAGUCCUAGCUAAUAGGCUGAAAAAAGUGAUUGGGAAGGUGGUGUCCCCUGCUCAGAAUGCUUUUGUGAUGGGAAGACAGAUCCUUGACACCUCCCUAAUUGCAAAUGAGGUGAUAGACUUGUGGCAAAAAAGAAAAGAGAAGGGGGUCAUUUGCAAAUUGGACAUUGAGAAAGCUUAUGACAGUAUGAAUUGGCAGUUCUUAAUGAAAGUUCUACAAAAAAUGGGAUUUGGGCCAAAGUGGAUGGGGUGGAUGUGGAGUUGCAUAUCUUCAGCAAAAUUUUCAGUCUUAGUGAAUGGGGUUCCUGCUGGUUUUUUCCCGAGUUCUAAGGGGCUUCGUCAAGGAGAUCCCCUAUCUCCUUACCUCUUCGUAAUGGGAAUGGAAGUAUUGGGGGUUCUUAUUAGGAGAGCUGUUGAAGGGGGUUUCCUGUCAGGUUGUAACAUUCGGGAGGGAGGAAGGACAACUUUGAACAUUUCGCAUUUAUUUUUUGCAGAUGAUACGAUAGUUUUUUGUGAAGCUAAAAAGGACCAUCUAAGUCAUUUAAGUUGGAUCCUCUUUUGGUUUGAAGCGGUCUCGGGGCUAAAGAUUAAUCUGGGUAAAAGUGAAAUCAUCCCGGUGGGUGAGGUGGAGGAUAUUGAGGAAUUGGCAGCGGAGAUAGGAUGUAGGGUGGGAUCUUUGUCGUCCCAGUAUUUGGGUCUACCCUUAGGGGCUCCUAACAAGGCCUCCUCGGUGUGGGAUGGAGUAGAAGAAAGAGUGAGGAGAAGACUUGCGCUUUGGAAAAGGCAAUUUAUCUCUAAAGGUGGCAGAAUCACUCUGAUUAAAAGCACCUUGGCCAGCAUACCCAUUUAUCAAAUGUCUCUUUUCCGGAUGCCGAAGAUUGUGGUUAGAAGGCUAGAAAAAUUGCAAAGAGACUUCCUAUGGGGAGGGGGAAGUAUGGAGAGGAAAAUUCACCUAGUGAAUUGGGAGAUAGUGUGUGGAGAAAAAGAGAGGGGUGGGCUUGGUUUGAGGAAGCUUGGCCUAUUGAACAGAGCUUUGCUUGGAAAAUGGAUAUGAAGGUUUGCUUGUGAAAGAGAGAAUCUUUGGAAGCAGGUGAUUGUGGCAAAGUUUGGGCAAGAAGAUGAUGGAUGGAAGCCUAAUGGGGCGUUUGGGGUAGGGGUGUGGAAGGAGAUCAUGAAGGAGACUGAUUGGUGCUGGGAUAAUAUAGAGUUUAUGGUGGGGAAGGGUACUAGAAUCAGAUUUUGGACUGAUGUGUGGUGUGCGGGCUCAGCGCUGUCCCAAACCUUCCCGCACCUUUUUGUCUUGGCUGCUCAUAGGAAUGCUACGGUGGAGGAGAUGUAGGAUCAGAGUUCGGAUCAAGGAGGUUGGAAUCUAAGAUUUUUGAGGAAUUUUAAUGACUGGGAGGUGGGUAUGGUAGGAGAUCUGCUCCUUAAGCUGAGAGGGUUUAGGCCUUCUUUGGAGGAAGAUUCGGUCUCUUGGAAGGGAGGAAAAAGCGGUAAAUUCAAAGUAAAGAAAGCGUACAGCUACUUAGUCAAUCCUAUGGACACCGUUUUCCCGGAAAAAUGCAUUUGGGUGGAUAGAGUACCUACCAAGGUCGCUUUCUUUGCGUGGAAGGCUACAUGGGGGAAGGUGUUAACGCUUGAUAGACUUCAGAGAAGAGGAUGGCAACUCCCUAACUGCUGCUUUUUGUGUGGUUGUGCAGAAGAAUCUGUAAAUCAUGUCCUUAUUCACUGUAUAGUGACUAGAGCCCUUUGGGAGUUAGUCCUUGGGCUUAUAGGUGUUAAGUGGGUCUUUCCAGAAUCUGUAAAGGAGGUCUUGUUUAGCUGGAAAGGUCACUGGGUGGGAAAAAAAAGGAAAAAGAUUUGGAAGGCCAUCCCGUUAUGCAUAUUUUGGACGGUUUAGAAAGAAAGGAAUAGGUUAGCCUUUAAAGGGGGUGUGAUACAUAGACAGAAGCUAAAGAAUUUUUUUGUUUGUAAUUUGUGGGGUUGGGCUAGAUUGGAUAUUGGAGAUAACUCUCUCUCCCUUCUAGGCUUUCUAGAGUGGCUAGCUGCCACUUAGGGGAGGUGAGGUCUUCUUGGUCCCUUUUGUUUUUUGGUUGUGAGGCUUUAGCUGCCUUGUAUAUCUCCUGUAUACUGUGUGGCUAUUGGCCUCUUUUUUAAUAUACAUUGACGUACUUAUCAAAAAAAAAAUAAUAUAGUGAACAUAAACAUUUGACUACAUUUUCACAUUAUAGUUAAAUCUAACAUUGAAUUUCCUAACUCACCUUUGUAUGCCAGGAUAUAUUAGAAACAAUUUUAAAACAUGUCAGAGAUAUUACCUUUGUCAUGGCGCUCAAGCCUGACUUGGAAGACACAUAGGCUACUCCUCCAGGUAACUGUCCCCGAUUAAGAGCAGCAAUGGAAGAAAUAUUGAUGAUUGAUCCUCCAUUCUUGGCAUCCCUCAUGCGCAUACCGACAUAUUUUGACACCAACCAUGAUCCCGUCAAGUUUGUCUUCAGAGUAUUAUUCCAUUCCUCCUCAGAUAUAUCCAGAGGAGAGUUCACAUUGCCUAAGGCACACAGGGCACAGGGCAUGGGUUAAAUACAUCUACCACGCAUUACGUUCACAAAUAUUAGCAGAACACCAGAGAUAAAUUAAAUGAGUAAUAUUGAUAAGAAAAAUAUAUGUGAUUGACUCGGUAUAGAUACCCAGUUGACUCGCUAAUCUUUUUCAUUAAACAAAUAGUUUCAAAUUUCAGUUCGAACUGAAUGAAAUGAAACGUGCGCUAGAAUUGAAAGUAUGAGAAAAACAAGGUUUCCAAAAGCCAGCUGCAAAACGGGAAAUUCAGGAUACAGGAAUAUCAGGAUCGUGCAAAACCCCAUAAAUUCAAAAAUUGAAAACCAUGAAACGAGAAAUCAGGUAAAUUAAUACUAUACCCUACAUAUUCACCCCUUAGAUGAUUGAAAUUUUAAUUUCGUUUCUUCAUUCAGAUUUCGCGUGAACCAAACGGCAGGUAGAAGUGCUCAAAGAAAAAAAAAUCAAAAUUGCCUCAGUCCGUUGCAUUCCUAAAAUAUCAGAACCUCAUCAACCACAAGAUUCCAAAUUCCCUUUCCUUUUUUCCAAACAGAAACUAAACUCUUUUCCAAAGUCAAAUCAAAAUUUACCUCUAAUGCCCGCAUUAUUUAGCAAAGCAUCGAUACGUCCAAAGGCCUCCCAAGCCUUCUGAACGGAGGCGCCGAUUGAGGAGCCAUCGCUGGUGACGUCAAGUUCGACUGCUACGGCUCGGAGAGGCGGAUCAGCGUUUGGAGGAAGGUUCGAGUGGGUGAGGUUGUUGAUCUCGUCGCAGAGAGACUUGAGUCGGUCAACUCGGCGGGCGGCCGCCACGAUCUUGCAGCCGGCUUUGGCGAGGUUGAGGCAGAACUCGCUGCCGAGACCCGAGGAAGCGCCGGUGACCAUGACCACCUUGCCCUCCAGGUCUUGCCAUGGCUCGAGGUGGUUCGCGACUUGGGACGCCAUCAAUGUGGUUGAGAGUCUCUAGAGAAAGUAGGCACCAGCUUUUAGAGGGAAAAAAAGUAAAGCAAAGAAAAUUUGAUAAGAUGAAAAUAAAUAAUAAAUAAUUAAAAGGGGAAAUAAACUCCUCUAUAUAUUCUAUUGCGACAUUGCGUGAUCAAAUUCCAUUUGUUUAUGUAUCGCCUUUGUAGUGAAUCUAGUGAUGAUGCCAUCGGAUUGUUUGCAGUGAAUUGUCGGAAUUGUUUUUAGUCAUUCUAAUAAUUAAAAAUAAAAAUUUUCAAAUAUUAAAAAUUAAAAAAUUUUAAAUAUUAAAAAUGUUAAAAACGCUUCCUAUAAUAAUUGUUAAAUAGACUCUAAGAGUAUAUUUGAAAGUAAUUCUAAAAAAUAUUUUUAGUAUUUUUAUUAAUGUGUUUUUAAGUAUUAAAAAUAUUAAAAAUACUUUCUAAAAUCACUAUCAAACUAAAAGUGCAUUUAAAAGUAAUUUUAAAAAAUAUUUUUAACAUUUCUAAUACUUAAAUAAUAAAAAACUUCAAGUGUUAAAAAAAUUUAAAACAUUCCAUAAAAUCACUACCAAAUAGAGUCUAAGUUUGUGAAGGGAUCAACACUUAAUAAGUCAUAUUUUAUUAUACAUCUUUCUAAAAUUAGUAUUAAGAAACCAAUUUUUCAGUGUCCAAUAAUUUUCCCUAUUGGUAUAAUUUUCUAAUUACGUAAAAUAAAAAUGGUCAUCAAGGGAAAAUAAUUUUUGAGAACAAACUUUUGCUUAUGAUUUUUUUAUUAUUACUCAAAAAGAGCAUAUUUUAUAUAAUAAUUAUCACGAAUUUCAUAUCUUUUGAGUAGUAACUAUACCUAAAACACUCAAUUAACAUGUUUUUACUUUUGCAAGAAUUACUAAAAAGUCUUAUGAAGUUUUGGGGUAAUUUCAAGGUAUGUUUUUUAUAAAUAGGUGACAAAAGAGAUGAAUCAAAUUAAAGAAAACAAAUAAAGUUGAUGAUGAUCCAAAUGCAUAAUGAAAGAGGCAAUCCAAUCAGUUUGGAUUGGGAUUUGGAGGUAGUUGAAGUGGAAUCAAAAUGAAGAAAUGAGAGAAAUUGCAAAAAGAAGUUGAAAAACCAUGUUUUUCAAUUUCACAUAAACACGAGAAAAAUUCGCACAGUCAUGCAAAUUGAAAUAGAAUGGACUUUGGCUGCAGCACACAAGGGGAAAAGUGAAAAUUGAUUUCGCAUGACCAUACGAAACGCUCCAAGAAGACGAAAAUGGUGCUGAUGGAUUUUCCACUUCGCACAAUCGUGCGAAAUUGUUGGAGCUCAUGCGAAAUUGUUGGAGCUCGUGCGAAAUUGCAUCUUUUCCAAAUUUCUUGAUGAAAAAGUCUCCGGAAGACCUUUUAGAUGAUGCCAAGUGUCCACUUGACCUUGGCCUAUAAAUAGAAACUUGAUUUACUCAUUUAGGGAUUUUUGAUACAUUUCCUAAUUGUAGAAUUUUCCAAAUUUCUUCUCUCUAUAUAAUUCUCUACUUUCCUUCAUUUUCUCUCAUUUUCUCGGUAGCCAAACAUGUCUUGUGAGAUCAAAUCUCAAAGUAUGAGUGGCUAAAUCUUGUUUUUCUUGGAAGAGAAAGGAUAUAGAGAUAAGAUCUAUGGUGAAUUAGAGAAAUGAGAUUAAAUUGCAAAGGUAAUUUGAUCCAAUUGAUUGAUUAAUUGAAAUUUUGAGAUUUUUCUCUUCAAAUUGUCUUGGAUGAUUACGACAAUGUAAGUUAGGUACAUUCAUCAAAUUCUUAAAGUUAGAUUUGAUGAGAUUGAAUAGUUACAUUGUGUGAAUCAUUGGCAGAUAAUUUAAGAUGAAUUGAAUAUAUGAUUUGAAUUGAUCUCUUAGAUUAAACGACCUAAUUUGAAGAGAAAUUAGAUCUAAACCUAAAGUCAAAUCAAAAAUCGGUUUAGAUGAAAAUUUAGGUUUUCAAUCUAACUUGAUGAAAAUUAGAUCUCAACAUCUAUUCACCAUGGAAAUUGUUUUCUAGAAAAUCCUAACUCCGAGAAUUUUAUCUCCUAUUAAUUUUCUUUUAUUUUACAUUUUAUUUUUCUUCUCAAUUUUAGACCAUUGUCAAAUUAAUUUUUCAUCAUGAAUUUUCAAAUCAAUUUCACUUGAUCACAAUCAUUUCUUAUCCUUUCAUUCAAGCCUUAAUUACCGAGAAUAAUCCAUCCUAGUGGACGACACCUAAAAACCACUAUAUUACAGUAGUUUGUACUAAAAUUGUUUUUAAUCGGGUACAAUCUACUUUAGAAUAGUGAAUUAGGUUAUAAAUUUUGUUUUGAUCAAAUAAAUGACAAAAAUCUAAGCGAUCAAUUUUGUAUAUAAAAAAUAAUUUUUUUCACUUAUUCUCGAUAAAACUUAUAAUGUAAAAGUUUUCAAAAUAUUUUUUUAAUAUUUUUUCUUUAUUUUUUGAAAAAUUUUGAUAAAUAAAAUAUGAAAAUACUUUUAAAUUAUUUUUAAAAUAACCUAUUUUCACAACAACAUUUUGAAAAAAACUUUUUUUAUUUUCUCAAAAUUUGGUCAAAUAUAUUCUCUAAGUUGGAGAGUGUCUAAUAUCCUUGUAAAUGUAUUUGGACAAAGUUUUGGAUUUUUAUUAUUUACUUUUGCUUUUAACAGCAAAACUCACUUUAAAAAUCCAAAAAAUAAAAUGAGUUUGGAAAACAAAAUCCAAACUUUAAUCAAAUUUAAAUCCUUUAAUUUUCUCAUUUGUUAAAAGAAUCUCAUAUUUUAUGCCAUUGAUGAAUAAGAAAAAACUUCUUACAUCUCUUAUAAGAAUCAUCUAUCAAUAUUUGAGUAUAUUUUUUUUUAGUGAUGCAUGGUGUUAAUUGAUUGAACUAAAAUUGUAUAAUAAAACCUGUCAAUAGGGAUGACAAUUUAGACACGACACGAUAAUGCAAUUUGAAAAUGAUUGGAUUGUUAAUGUGUUUGGGUUUGCAUGUGAUUGUGUUGUGUCUUAAUAAACAUGUCUUAUUUGGGUUUUCAUUAUUCACCUUGUUUAUGAUUUAUUUGCUUAAUUGUAUCAAAAUAAUUUAUUUAAUCCAUAUAAAUUUAAUAAUUUUAUACAUUCCAAUUAUAAAAAUAAUAAAUACUUUGUUAAUUAUAAAUAUCAUAUAGUAAAAACAUUAAAUAACUAAAUAAAAUUACAUUUGAUUAGUAAGAUUAAAAAUAGUUUAUAGUUAAAAUUUUAAAUAAAAUAAUAAGUAAAUGUAAAAAUUAAAAUAUUAUCCUACUUUUUAUAUUAUGAUCAAAAUUAAAUAAUUACAUUAAUUAAGAUUAAAAAUUAAAGCAAAUGAAAAGUAUUUUAGAAUAAUAUAUUUAUAAAGUUAAAUUCCAAAAUAGGUUAAACGGGUUAUAAUCAUGUUAACUAGUUAAAAUCAUACUAAUGGAUUAUUAUGUCCGAUUUAACCCAUUUAUUAAAUGAGUUAAAUGGGUUGUAUUGAGUUACCUAUAUAAUAAAUGAGUUGUGUUUAUGUUGAAUGUUUCCGACAUGAUUAUUAAAUAAGUCAUAUUUAAAUUAAAUAAAUUUUUACUAUUUUUUUUUUACUUUGAAGACAUUGCCAUCCCUACUUGCUCACAUGCAUUUAAACAAAAAAAUCUUGUAAUUUUCUCUCCAAUCCUUAUCAUUUUUCCCAUCGGCAAGUUCCCUAUUAGGAAAAGAAAUUCCUUGUAUACAUCUCUCAUCCCCAUUCAUGGUCUUUGAAUUCAUAUUUAAAAUUUUCAAAUAUAUAUAUAUAUAUAUAUAUAUAUAUAUAUAUAUAUAUAUAUAUAUAUAUAUAUAAACUAAUAUAUUUUAUAGUGAAUAUGAUAAUUUUUAAAAAAAUAAAUAAAUAUAAAAUUAUAUAUAAAGAAAUAUAUUUAAUAUUAUAUGUAUAUGGUUUGGGUGGGUUUUGGAUAGGGAAUAGUUUCAUUUCCCUGGUCGAGGUUCCCCAUCCCUAAUCCGACUCCAUUAGGGAUGGAUUCCCCAGGGGCACAACUUGGCUGGUUUUUUAUGCCAUCCUUGCUGGAGGGUGGGUUGGGAACUGUUGCCCAAAGCAUGGCCCAUGGGCCCCAACAUUGGCAAAAUCUUGAAACCCUUUAAGAUUAAGCUUGUUAUCUGUUUAUGUAUAUGUGCCGCCAUUUAGAUUGCAGGCCUAAAAAACUUAUAUAGUUUAUGAAGACAUGACCCAACAGGCCCAUCGGGCCACUUGUAUUCCUCUUUAACUUGACACCAAAAGCGCAUUUGGUCGGGUUGAGCUUCAUAUUGUAUGCUUUCAUUAGGCAAAAUGUUUCCUCUAAGUGUAGGACGCGUUUGCUCUGGGUUUUGUUUUUUACCACAAUAUCAUCAAUAUAGACUUCUACGGUUCGGCUGAUCAAGGGUUUGAAGAUUUUUGUCAUCAACCUUUAAUAAGUGGUUCCAACAUUCUUAAGCCCAAAUGGCAUAACCCUAUAGCAGUAUAAUCUGUGCAGCAUCACGAAGGCGGUUUUCUUUUCAUCCGGUUGGAACAUCGGGAUCUGGUGGUACCCGGAGAAUGUGUCUAUGAAAGAGAGCAUCUCAUACAUGGUAGUGGACUCAACUAUCUGAUCUAUUCGAGGUAGAGGGAAGCUAUCUUUCAGGCAAGCAUCAUUCAGGUUGGUGUAAUCAACACAGACUCGCCACUUUCCUCCUUUCUUUGGAACAACCACUACAUUCGCCAACCAAUCCAGAUAUUAUACUUCCUUGAUAAACCCGAUUGUCAGCAACUUGUCCACAUUGAAUUGGAUGAUCUUUUGCUUGUCUGGAUGGAAGCGUCUGACUUUCUGGCAAACGGGUCACGAGGAAGGUAUGAUAUUGAGUCGAUGUAAGGCUACCGAUGGAUGGAUUCUGGGCAUAUCAAAGUGAGUCCAUGCGAAAACAUCCUUGUUCUACUAAAGCACUCCUUCGAGUAAUUUUAAUUCUUUUAGUGCUAGGAGAGAGCUAGCAUAGGUAACACGAUCACUGCUACCUGAGAGAUGCAAGGGUUGGAGCGAGUCUGCUGCUGACAGAUCUUUUUUCGUCAGGCUCUGUAAUUGCUAUUGCUCCUUCGUAUUUGUCAGUCUCGUGUGUGGCUCACUGUUGCUUGGGAGUCCGAAAUUGAGUACCGCUUGAUAGCACUAGCACGUAGCCAACUUACUACCAUAAAGGUCGAUUUGUCCGUCCUCGGUGAGGUAGCUUACCAUCUGAUGAUACGUAGAGGGAAUGACUUUCAUGUUGUGAAGCCACGUGCGCUCCAUGAUGGUGUUAAAAUGGGAUAAGUCCUCUACUAUCGAGAACUGCACAUUCUGGGUGAUCAUACCAACUUGGACGGGUAAUACGAUGUCACCUAAAGACGUUGUCGUUGUCCCAUUGAACCAAAUAAUAUCUGUUUUGGGUUUUCUAGGGCAAUCGGCAGGAGUCUCAUUUGUUUGUAUGACGACAUUUGCAAGAGGUCAACUGAGCUGCCCAGAUCAACCAAAAUCCUUCUUACAUCAAACCCAUUUAUCCCUAAUGUUAGAACUAGGGCGUCUUCAUGUGGUUGUAGUACUCGGUUGGGGUUUACUGGAGGGAAGGUUAUUAUCCCGUCCAUUAGGCAUGCACCUUGAUUACUACUCAAAAAGUGUUAUUUCAUAGCUUGUAAUUAACUCUUUUAAACACUUUUGAGUAGUAGUUAUUGCCUUUUAACCCAAUUAACAUGUUAAGGACCCUUGCAAUCACUUCUAAUCAAUUUGUGUUAAGUUUUGGUGUUUUGAUAGCUUUUUUAUCACCAAAGCAAUCCGAGAUUGAGGAGAGUUAUUUGGAAUCUAUGGCAAAGCAAUGGAAAGCUCAGAAACAUGAAGAACCAAAGCUUUGAAGUCCUUUGUCAUAAGCAAAUCCGGAAUGCAAGGAGGAGAAGCAAAGAGAAAUCUGCCAUGAAGCAUUCUUGAUGAUAGCCAUGUCAGCCACUUUUAGAGCACUUCCUGAAGUCUAAUUUAUGCAUGCUAUAUGUCGUUUCGAAGCUCAGGAAGUCAACAAUCCAAUGCUUCAAAUGGUGUUCAAUUUGGAGUUGAAAUGAAGGAAUUACAGCCAUUACAAGUUGAUCACUCUAAGUUGAAGGAAGAAUUUUGCACAGCGCUGCGAAAUCACCCUUUUGUUGCGAGAUGAUUUCGCAGCCUUUUUGUACAGUGCUGUGGAUUCUCCCCUGAAGUUUCCCGUCACAAUGGAAGCCGAAUACCGCAAGCUGAAAGCCAACUUCGCAGCGCUGCGAAAUCAGCCUUUUGCUGCGAAGUGAUUUCGCAGCCCUUUUUGUGCUUCUACGAAAUCUCGUAGACCUCGUUUUCACCUGCGAAAUGGUCCUUAGUGCUUCCCGAUAUUUGUGACCGACACUUUUGGAUAUUUUGCUUCAGAUUUUUGAUAACUAAAUCCUCAUUUUCUCCUUGUAACCCACCAAUUAUAGGAUUUCUUAGUUAUUAAGUUUGGCAAAGGGGUGAAUAACCUUAGAUAUUUUGUUUUGUAAUUUUCUUUAUAUAUAGCUCUCGGGAGCUUGUUCUUAUAUAGAAUUAUGUAAUCCGACGGGAUAUAGAUUUAUAAAUAUAUAGAAUAUACAGAGCCUUGCUCUGUUUUUUCUUUCUCUUUCAUUUUCAUUUUCUUGCUAAUCAAACUCUGAAGAUUUUUCCUCAGAUGAUGAGAGGCUAGGCUCUUCGUCUCUUGGAGCUAAGGUAACCGGGUAAGUUUUCCACAUGCAUAAAUUGGAAGUUUUGUUGUUUUAGUUUUUAAUGAAGAGAAAGUGUGACCCGUUAAUGGUUUUUAUCUUUUUAGUUAACUUAAAACGCCUUUAAUUCACCUGAGCCAACACUUGGUAAGGCAAGUGAUCUCCGUCCAUGGAGAUGCACUAGUUUAUCUCUUGCGAGCUUUUGGUAGGUGGUUUGAAGGUAGGAUUUUCUAGAAUAGCCAACACUUGUUAAGAUUUUGGACUCCAAUGAGACAUCCAUUAGUUAUCUCUUGCGAGCUUUUGAUGGGUAAUCCAAGGUUAAAGAUCACCUUGAAUGACAAAUGCUAGGUGAGAGGCACGAGUCAUUGCAAGGUGCAUCAAUGAGAGGGAUUUAGUGUUUGAACCCAUUAAUGGGAAGUAUCUGUACAACACUGGUUAGAGAAUUAACUACAUGUUAAUUCUCUAAUGCGAGGAAAAGAAACAAGUGACCAGAACUCUCCUUUUUGUAUGAGGAAUCUGAGCCUAGUGAUCUGAAACUCCAAGAAACACUUUUCUUUGUAAGUAAAAUCAGUUGCUAUUUUUGGUUAGUUUAAAACCAAACUUUUUUCAUUCAAACAUCUUUAUGUUUUCUUUUAAAGCUAACCUUGAAAUGAAAAGGCACCAAUUCAGCUUUGAAUUAAUAUCAUUUGCAAAGUGAAAACCCAUCCCAGUGAACGAUCCUAGAGCCACUAUGCUAUAAUAGCUUUGUCUUUGCUAUCCUAGUAAAUGGUGUAAUAGGUUAUAAAUUUUGUUGAUUACUCCCUCAAUCAAGGAGCACCAGCUGGACACGAAUCAACUGAGACACCAAUUGGGCAUGAAUCACACCUUCACUCGGCAAACUAUGUUGGAUAGAGCUAACCUACUCCCUCACGAAAGCCACUCGUAGCAAUCUUUGUCUCUUUUGUUUGGAAUUGUAUUUUUCGUCAACGAGACCCCCAUGAAUGUAGUUGAUGAUAGCUCUAAGAGCUUCCGAAGUUGUGGACACUUGGAUAGCCAAAUCCCGGGUGGUUUCCCUUUGUCCUUCGAUUGAGCGGAUGUAUCAUUUUAAGUGCUUGGCCUUAAUUAGUCUUUCCACUAAGUAGUGGAAACUUCUGCAUUGUUUCGUGGUGUGGCCAUGAUCUUUGUGAUAGGCACACUUCCUGUUCUAAUCCCGUUUCGUCGAAUCUGUCUUAAUUGACUCUGGCCAUCUAAAAUCAGACAGAUCACAAAUCAUGGGAAGGAGUUUGUCGUAUGAAAUGCUAAGGGGGGUCAGACUAGCUUGGCUUGGCUGCUGCUGGUCGUCUCGCUUCUUGCUGACUUGCCUUAGUUGGUUUGAGAGCUUAGAAUUUUCGGCAUGAUCGUUCCUGGCGGAUCGACGAGUGACCAGGACCUGCUGUGUAGUCUUACAAACAUCGUCUUCAAGAUGGAGUACUUGUUUACUCGUUUGAAUAGGUCAUCCAUUGUCGCUGAUAGUUUCUUAACGAGAGAUUCGAAGAAAUGCGUACUCGGACAAAUGCUUCUUUUGAAGAUUUGUAGGAUGACGUCCAUGCUACAAGACUCUACUUGGAGCACGACCUGUCCGAACAGUUUCACAAACUCCCUCAAUGAUUCAUUUUCCUACAUUUUUAUGUUUUGCGGGGUACUUAUGUUCUAUUUGUCAUGCCGAGCAUAGGUAGUGUCCCACAAAGGCUUCUGAUAGAUCCUAGAAAUUACUCACAAAAUUCUUUAGGAGAUGGUGGAACUACGAAAGGGCCUAGCCAUGUAAGCUAGUUGGAAAGACUUUGCAUAAUAGCACAUCGUUCCCUAUGUUGAGGGUCAUGAGCUGCCUAUAAUGCAUGAUAUGAUCAAACAGAUCACUUGUUUCGUCAUAUGUCAUGAAUUUUGGUACCAUGAACCCUCUUGGGGGCUAGUAGUUGAUGAUGUAAAGGCUAAAAAGCAUGGAGAGCAUGUCACCCAAUCGUCUACUGACAGAGCCAAGCAGUCCUCGUUCUGUCAGAGCCCCUACUUGUUGUUAUGCUGGUGGACGAGAAGGCCAUUCUAGCAUGACCAUUGUAAUCGAGAAACCAAGGCAGGCUUCCUGGGUCGCUGCUACACAUGGUUUCCCUUCCAUGCCAGGUGUCUGAGGUCUUAGCCGAGCUCACAUUGUGUCUGAUAGUUGUGACCUUCUAUCACACCUCUUUUUUGUGGAGAUGUGGGUAGAGUCAGAGCUUUCAUCUAACAGUGCUUGGCAAGUUGGUAGAAACUUUUCUUUAGGUCGUAUCUCCUGGCUACCAGAGAUGAACUUUGCGUCCCUAAGAAAUGACAUUUUUUCGUUUUGUUUGGAGUUUGUUCACUGGCUCUUAGGCUGUCGGCUACGAGGGGGGCUUGACGAAGACACCUGGAUGCGUAACACUUCAAUUUCUUCUCUAAGUCUCCUUGUCUCACAGAGCAAGGACUGUACCUGUCGUUUGCUCUCUUGUUGGCGUCUUUCCAUGUUUUCACACUAGUCGAAGUAGCCAUCGCUACCCAUGGCUGAUGAUCGGCUCCUUGAGGGCGUCGACAUUCUUAACAUUUCCCACAAAUAGCACCAAUGUUGAUGCGAGGUUAACUGGAGUCAGAUCCGCCUUAUGUUGUGCCACUGAGAGCUUUUACCCAGCAACAAGGGACUAAGUGAGCUUUUUCCCUACACAAAGGAUGUCCGGACAAGGUGUCUGAGCACGCCCCUCUGAAGCUUAAGUCAGACACAGGUAGGUUAGAGCUUAUAGGGAGAAAAUGAAUAAACUAGCUUAGGUGUGCAUACCUGGGUUAUGCUUUAGGAAGACUUUUUAUAGUGCUCAAGAGAAAGUUAAUGUAGUGCUGAGUAGAUACUUUGACCUUCACUGUAAUAAUGGUUAUCCUGCAGGUGGCAGAGCAAUCAUUGCAGUUUAGGGCAACUAGCAAGUUCCAUCAAAUGAUGUGUCAUAAUGUAGCUGCCCAUCAUUUCAACCUUCUGGAGAUAUGAGGCAAUGUGUGAUAAUUUGUUGACAUCAAGGAUGAAAAUAUCGGUAAUUACGGAUAUAUCGAUAUUUCGAUUUUACGGAUAUAUCGAUAUUUCGAUUUUACGGAUAUAUCGGAAAUAUAUCGAUGGAUAUUUUGAUAUAAAAUAUUAGUAGACCUAAAAUUGACCAAAACUUAUAAAAAUAUAAAAUAAAACUUUUAGAAAUGAAAUUAAAAUAUAAUAGAUAUUUUAAAAUUAUUUUAUUAAAUAAAUUAAUGUAUAUAUAAUAUUGUACGUGUCAAUAAAAAAAUAUAAAUUUGAUAAGUGUAUAUUGAUUAUUAAAUUAUAUUAAAUAUUAUUUGAUCAUUAUAUUGUGAUAUUUGAUUAUAAUAUAUUUCGAUGGAUAUUUUAACACAAAAUAUCGGUAAAUCUAAAAUUGAUCAAAACUUAUAAAAAUAUAUUAAAAAAAACUUUUAAAAAUAAAAUUAAAAACAUAAUAGACAUUUUAAAGUUAUUUUUUCGAAUAAAUUGAUAUAUAUAUAUAUAUAUAUAUAUAUAUAUAUAUAUAUAUAUAAUAUUGUACAUGUUAAUAAAAAAUAUAAAUUUGAUAAGUGUAUAUUGAUUAUUGAAUUAUAUAAAAUAUUAUUUGAUGAUAAUAUUGUGAUUAUAAUAUGUUUAAUUUUAAAAUCUGUUUAAUAUUAAAAUAGUGAUAUAUUAUAAAAUAAAUGAUAAUAAAUAUAUAAAAUAUUAAUAUAUUAAUAAUAUUAAAAACUCUAUGAAUAAAAUUAUGAUAUUUUUUACUAAUCAAUUAAAUGAAAAUUUUUCAUUUAAUUAUAAAAUAGUCAUAAUUAAUUUGUUAUUUAAAGUGUUUUUUUAAUAUUUUAUUUAUAUUCUAAGUUUUAAUAUAUAUUUCUUUAGAGUGUCAUAUUUAUCAAAGAGCAUGUUUGCCCUAGUGGAACUGGGCCUGACAUAGAAAUCUUUUGUUGGGGGUUCGAAUCCCCCCAACAGCAGGAAGAAAAAAAGCUUAAUUUUGACCGUUGACCGCCUGUGUUGACCGAGCGUUGACCGGCGAUAUAUCUCUGCUGCACCCACCGACACACCGAUAUUUCGCCGAAAUAUCGCCUAAUUCCAAAGGGAAUGAUUACACGUAGCAAGGGAGUUCCGAGCACUGUGGCAAUUAUCUGGACAAUGCUGAGGGAAGUGACGCAUGGACUGACACGUGGAAGGUCCCUACAAUUACUACUCCUCAUUCACGUCUACCAAACAGGCCUUUGGGAUGAAAAUUAUAUACGUCAAUUCCAAGUUUCCAACCCAACACAAUUAUAUUAUUCACCUAAAUCACACUAAACCCAAUUUCCAUUUUUUUGGUGCAUCCAACCUGGAAUAUGUACAUUUUAAUGUAAUUCCUGCACAAAUGAGAAAAGUGAAUAAGCCAUCUUCCUCGACAUUCUUCUUGUAAAUUGAAGAGCAAGAUUUAUUUAUUUAUUUAUUUAUUUGCAUUUUAAAAACCAAUGUGAAAUUUGUCUUUUGAUUUUGAGCAUCCAUGAUGCCGAUAUGUACAUUUCAAUUACCACAUGAAGCAGGAAGUUCAAUCUUAAAUACCGAACAUCAAGCAGAAACCACUACACCCAGUAGAUGUAGAUUUUAAUAUUCAAUGGGUUCAUUCCAAUUGCCACAUUAUUUUCAGCAACCAGAACUCAAAAAAAGCCACACAAAUAACACGAUUAUAAGGAUAUGGGGGAUCGGAUACCUUAUUUUAUUUCCCAGUAUAAUUUUGAGACAAUCAAAUUCUGAGCUGCAGAGUCUGAAAUCCAAUAAAGGAGCUUUGGAGUCUAUGGUGGUGUACCGGGAUGAACCAUCACCUUCCAAAUUAAAAUUCUAGGGCUAUACCACAAACAGAAUUCUGAGAUGUAUUGGGUAUUACAUGAUGAAUAACCCAAGAAAACUAGUACCGUAGAAGAGCUUCAAAGGGAAGAGAAAAUGGGAACACCCGGCAGGGUUGCGCCUGCAUCGACAUUGAAAACGUUACCUGAUAUGUAUCGUGAAGAAUCAUGAAUCAAGUAUCGCACCAGGGAUGUCAAUGCAGGGUCCGAUGUUCCAUAGGCCCGCAAGGGGCAUGUUCUCUGAACCACAGUGUUGAGCCAGUCUUUUUGCAUAAGGCCCGCAGUUAUCUCCGAUUUGAAUAUUCCAGGUGCUAUUGCAUUCGCUCUAAUAUUGUAUGCCCCCAAUUCCAAAGCCAUUACCUGGAAUUGUUAUUAUUUGGAAAAAAAAUAAAUAAAUAAUCAUUCUUCAGUGCCAGACUCAGAUGAGUGUGUAGGAAUAAAGGUUCUACAACAUUUUUGCAUGGAAAAACAGUUGAAGAUGGCAGGAAAUAUACAAUAAAAUGUCGAAUCGAAAUAAGUAUAAUGCUAUAUAAACACAAGCCCUUAACCAGAUUUACAGAAAAUGACUUACAUCUUGGAUAGACAAACUGUACGUAUCAUGCAAAAGCGGAGAAUAAUAUUGGGAUUUUUUGCAUGGGAAGCAAGGUGAGAAGAAUAUUGACUUUUUGUACAUUGAUUUUUAUCUUCUCUUUUUAUACAUUUUAUAUACUCCUCAUGCUUAUUAAAAAAAAAAAAAGACAAAAAUAAUAUUAAAAAUUAAAAAUAAAAUAACAAGACAAGCAUAAUAUAGUGAACAUAAACAUUUGACUACAUUUUCACAAUAUAUUUAAAUCUAACGUUGAAUUUCCUAACUCACCUUUGUUUGCCAGAAUAUAUUAGAAACAAAUUUAAAACAUGUCAGAGAUAUUACCUUUGUCAUGGCGCUCAAGCCUGACUUGGAAGACACAUAGGCUACUGCUCCAGGUGACUGUCCCCGAUUAAGAGAAACAAUGGAAGAAAUAUUGAUGAUUGAUCCUCCAUUCUUGGCAUCCCUCAUGCGCAUACCGACAUAUUUUGACACCAACCAUGAUCCCGUCAAGUUUGUCUUCAGAGUAUUGUUCCAUUCCUCCUCAGAUAUAUCCAGAGGAGAGUUCACAUUGCCUAAGGCACACAGGGCACAGGGCAUGGGUUAAAUACAUCUACCACGCAUUACGUUCACAAAUAUUAGCAGAACACCAGAGAUAAAUUAAAUGAGUAAUAUUGAUGAGAAAAAUAUAUGUGAUUGACUCGGUAUAGAUACCCAGUUGACUUGGUAUAGAUACCCAGUUGACUCGCUGAUUAGUUUCAAAUUUCAGUUAGAACUGAAUGAAAUGAAACGUGCGCUAGAAUUGACAGUAUGAGAAAAACAAG